rnacentral:rRNA from 1 species
UACGUAGGGGGCAAGCGUUGUCCGGAUUUAUUGGGUUUAAAGGGUGCGUAGGCGGCUUUGUAAGUCAGUGGUGAAAUAUGGCAGCUCAACUGUCAAGGUGCCAUUGAUACUGCGAGGCUUGAGUACAGAUGAGGUAGGCGGAAUUGACGGUGUAGCGGUGAAAUGCUUAGAUAUCGUCAAGAACACCUAUAGCGAAGGCAGCUUACUAGGCUGUAACUGACGCUGAGGCACGAAAGUGUGGGGAUCAAACAGG